AUUGAACGCUGGCGGAAUGCUUUACACAUGCAAGUCGAACGGCAGCACGGGGGCAACCCUGGUGGCGAGUGGCGAACGGGUGAGUAAUACAUCGGAACGUGCCCAUGUCGUGGGGGAUAACGUAGCGAAAGCUACGCUAAUACCGCAUACGAUCUACGGAUGAAAGCGGGGGAUCGCAAGACCUCGCGCGAUUGGAGCGGCCGAUGGCAGAUUAGGUAGUUGGUGGGGUAAAGGCUCACCAAGCCGACGAUCUGUAGCUGGUCUGAGAGGACGACCAGCCACACUGGGACUGAGACACGGCCCAGACUCCUACGGGAGGCAGCAGUGGGGAAUUUUGGACAAUGGGCGCAAGCCUGAUCCAGCCAUUCCGCGUGCAGGAUGAAGGCCCUCGGGUUGUAAACUGCUUUUGUACGGAACGAAAAGCCUUCUUCUAAUACAGGAGGGUCAUGACGGUACCGUAAGAAUAAGCACCGGCUAACUACGUGCCAGCCGCCGCAGUAAAAC
rnacentral:rRNA from 1 species